rnacentral:lncRNA from 1 species
AAGUUGAGCCGCGCACUUUCUCCACGCGUACCAACAGCGGCUCUGCCUAAGGAGGACGGGGCUGGGAGCCCCGCACGGCGCAGGAAGAGAUGCGCUGCUUACGCCGCGGCUGAGGUCACCUCCCCCGUCCCCUCGCGUACCGGAGAAACGCUUUCAGGACCACCCGGCCCCUCCGCGCAGCCCGGGCCCCACGGCCAUCUGGGACGGGGCCGACGGCGGCCACAUGGUCCCGGCGCCUCCCAUCCCCACCGGGGCCCGGCUCCCGGGGCCUCCCGCAGGGAGGGCCAGGUGGGAGGGGUGCCGGCCGACCCGGCAGGCCCGCACAAAGCCCGACGGCUCCGCGGGGACCCCGGGUUGGGCGGGGGGGCGGCACGGCCCUGCGGCUCCCCGGGGAGCGGCGCCCCCCUCCGCAGCCCGGCCCGCCGGAGCCCCCUCCCAGGGCCCCGCAGACAAUGGAGCCCGCACCGCCGGCCUACUCCCCGCUUCCUGCCCGCCGCACGCCCCCCGCCCGCCCCGCCGCCGCCGUCCCGCGGGCGCUCCCGAGCGGGACGGGGCGCUAUCGGGCCCGGGGCGCGGGGCCGCGGCCCGCAGGCACCGGCGCCGCGGAGGCAGAGAGCGGGCGGCGGCGGCGGGCGGCGGGGCGGGGAGAGCCGGAGCGCCCUGCCCGGCCCCUUCCCGGUGCCGGAACGGGGCCACUCACCUCCCCGGGCGGCCGCCGCAGGGAAAGCCGGAGGUCGCCGCUGCCGCCGCCGCCCGGCCGGGCCCGAAGGAGUUAAAAGGAAGGGCCGGGCGGGCCCGUCCCAUUCAUUAGCUGGGCGCUUUGUCUCCAGCCGCCGCCGCCGCCGCCGCGGCGCUGAGCAGGCUGCCCCGGCUCGGCCGCCACAGGGCGCGCUGCGCAGGCGCCGGGCGCGGGGGGCGGCCCCGCAACCGUCGAGCGGCGGCACGCACGACGCACAACAUGUCAUCCGCCGGGCCGCAAAAUGGCCGCCCCCGGGGCCGCGGCGGGCGACUGCGCCAUCCGGAUUCGGGCGGCGGGACGCGGCCUUCUCCUUUGGGUCCCGGGGGGCGGCCGUGGUCUGUAAGGCUGGCUCGGGGUCGGGGCCGGCCGGGGGCUGCCGGGGCUGCGGCUCGUCCCAGCUCCCGGCUGAGGCGGCCGGUGCUUCGCAGCGCGCUCGGCGGUGGCCGCAGUGGGACUCGGACCCGCUGCAGGCCCGGCCGGGUGGGCGGCUCCGGUCCGCAGCACGUCGAGCGGGUGGGCGCCGCCGACUUGAGCGGCGUUCUCUCCCGUAUCGGGGGAUUCGAUGGCUGUUGUGUGUGUUUGCUUUUUAA